UACUAGAGGACGUUUUAACAACUCGAGACGAUAAAAAAGAGAAUAGUAGAAAGAAGGAGAAGGGUGAAAAGCUGAAAGAAAUUUCACCACAUGAUGGACACGGGGUAAAGUCCAACACUAGGAAGCCCGCUAGGCCCCUUCAACUUCG
ncrna:unclassified sequences IMES-5 RNA